rnacentral:lncRNA from 1 species
AUUCAGCAAAGAUGCAGACCUUGAAGAUAGCUGACAUAUGGAAACUGUUAGAACGAGAUUAGAAGCUGCCAACAACCUUCAAUCAUCAUUACUCACAGUGAGUCCUGAUGAGUAAUGGGAUGAUCAGUUAGUUGUACCUCCAAGUACAUGGAGGAUACUCUCAAAGAGAGAGAGAGCUGAGCCUCCAGAGGCUGAAGGACUGUCAGAUGGAGUCUGAACUCCUUGUUCAACUGAAGAUCAACAAUCUUGAAAAACAGAAACUGCAUUGUGGGAUGACAUGAAUUCUCAAAGGAUCAGAACUGGACGCUGGGACAAGCCAUGAAUGGAGAAGAGAAGACCUUGAGGAGAGAAGAGUCAGGGAGGAAAGAAAAAUAAGGGACAAAAUAUAGCAGUAAGGAACAUUUUUGAUGAUUCCAGAUAGGCCUGGAAAUCAAGAUUCCUCAUGGCCCUGCUUAUAAAAGGGUAUCAGGGACUGGCAUCUUGGAGAGCACUCAGUGGAUAAUCAAUAGAUACUUACUGACCGAAUGACUGAUCGACUAAUGCACUUUUCAUUUGGAUUCCAAGUGCAG